UACAGAGGUCUCAAGCGUUGUUCGGAUUCAUUGGGCGUAAAGGGUGCGUAGGCGGCGCGGUAAGUCGGGUGUGAAAUUUCGAGGCUUAACUUCGAAACUGCAUUCGAUACUGCCGUGCUUGAGGACUGGGAGAGGAGACUGGAAUUUACGGUGUAGCGGUGAAAUGCGUAGAUAUCGUAAGGAAGACCAGUGGCGAAGGCGAAUCUCUGGACAGUUACUGACACUGAGGCACGAAGGCCAGGGGAGCAAACGGG
rnacentral:rRNA from 1 species